rnacentral:rRNA from 1 species
AAUCAACGCUGGCGGCGCGCUUAACACAUGCAAGUCGAACGAGAAAGGGGAGCGAUCCCCGAGUACAGUGCGCACUGGUGAGUAACACGUGGAUAUCUACCUUCCGGUGGGGAAUAACCUGGGGAAACCCGGGCUAAUACCGCAUACGCUUGGGAAAGGAAAGCCCGCGAGGGCGCCGGGAGAGGAGUCCGCGGUCGAUUAGCUGGGUUGGCGGGGUAAAGGCCCACCAAGGCGAAGAUCGAUAGCCGGCCUGAGAGGGCACACGGCCACACUGGCACUGAAACACGGG